rnacentral:rRNA from 1 species
UACGUAGGGGGCGAGCGUUGUCCGGAUUCAUUGGGCGUAAAGAGCUCGUAGGCGGCUUGAUAAGUCGGGUGUGAAACCUCCAGGCUCAACCUGGAGUCGCCACUCGAUACUGUCAUGGCUAGAGUCCGGUAGGGGACCACGGAAUUCCUGGUGUAGCGGUGAAAUGCGCAGAUAUCAGGAAGAACACCCGUGGCGAAGGCGGCUCUCUGGGACGGUAUUGACGCUGAGACGCGAAAGCGUGGGGAGCGAACAGG